GAAGGAGUCAAAGCUCUAGUUUGCAACGCUUGGGGGCGAGAGUUCACGAGCUCACCUGCACCUAGAGGAGGAGGCACUCCAAGAUGUGGCGAGGAGCAGGAGCUCAAUUUCGUCGGCACAUGGAGGAGGAAAGUGCUCGAGGAAACGGGGAUGCUGCGGGAAGCCAAAGGUCUACCUCGCCAGCAGAUGGAAGAGGCACUUGGGGAGAAGGAGUUUAACCUCGCCGGUUGGAAGGUGAAGUAUGGUAGGCUGGCUGGCAUACAUGGUGACAUAUACGCCUCUCCCAGGGACCAUAUAUGUGCUUCUCUGCGUAACUGGGCUCUGCCAAUAGCUGACCCACUAUUCAAGACAAGGUAUAAAGCCAGUCCCUACACAAGAACCAAAGCCAAGUAA
rnacentral:lncRNA from 1 species